CUACGGGUGGCAGCAGUGAGGAAUAUUGCACAAUGGGGGGAACCCUGAUGCAGCAACGCCGCGUGGAGGAUGACGCAUUUCGGUGUGUAAACUCCUUUUAUAUGUCAAGAAAAUGACGGUAGCAUAUGAAUAAGCACCGGCUAACUCCGUGCCAGCAGCCGCGGUAAUACAGAGGGUGCAAGCGUUACUCGGAAUCACUGGGCGUAAAGGACGCGUAGGCGGGUUGGAAAGUCAGGUGUGAAAUCCUACAGCUUAACUGUAGAACUGCACUUGAAACUUCUAAUCUAGAGUAUGGGAGGGGGAGAUGGAAUUAGUGGUGUGGGGGUAAAAUCCGUAGAUAUCACUAGGAAUACCUAAAGCGAAGGCGAUCUCCUGGAACAUUACUGACGCUAAGGCGUGAAAGCGUGGGGAGCAAACAGGAUUAGAUACCCGUGUAGUC
rnacentral:rRNA from 1 species